rnacentral:rRNA from 1 species
AGAUUGAACGCUGGCGGCAGGCCUAACACAUGCAAGUCGAGCGGUAGAGAGGUGCUUGCACCUCUUGAGAGCGGCGGACGGGUGAGUAAUGCCUAGGAAUCUGCCUAGUGGUGGGGGAUAACGUUCGGAAACGGACGCUAAUACCGCAUACGUCCUACGGGAGAAAGCGGGGGACCUUCGGGCCUCGCGCCAUUAGAUGAGCCUAGGUCGGAUUAGCUAGUUGGUGAGGUAAUGGCUCACCAAAGGCGACGAUCCGUAACUGGUCUGAGAGGAUGAUCAGUCACACUGGAACUGAGACACGGUCCAGACUCCUACGGGAGGCAGCAGUGGGGAAUAGUUGGCCAAGUGGGACGAAAAGCCUGACUCCAGCCAUGCC